rnacentral:rRNA from 1 species
GUUUUUUUAGAAAUAAAUUUAAUUUACAAGUUUUUAAUUUUUUGUUUAUUUAUUAAAUUUAAAAAAUUAUUAAUUUGAAUAUUUUAAGGGAUAAGCUUUAAAAUAAAUUAUUAAAAAUUAGUAAUUUUUAUAUAAAAUGUAUGAAUAUAAUUUUUAAUCAUUUAUAAGUUUGUUAUAAAUUAUUUUAUAAUUUAUAUUAUUUACUAUUAUUUUAAAUUUUUAUAAAAAUAUUUUCAUAAAUUUUUUAUGAAAAUUAAUAAUGAUAAAAUUAGUAUAUUUUAUAUGUAUAUAUAAUUUUAUUUGAUAAGUUUAUAUAAAGAACUCGGCAAAUUUAUAUACUCGCCUGUUUAACAAAAACAUGUCUUUUUGAGUUAUUUUUAAAGUCUAACCUGCCCACUGAAUAAUUUUAAAUGGCCGCAGUAUUUUAACUGUGCAAAGGUAGCAUAAUCAUUAGUCUUUUAAUUGAAGGCUGGUAUGAAUGGUUGGACGAAGUAUAAGCUGUUUCAUUUAAAUUUAUUAUAGAAUUUUAUAUUUUAGUUAAAAAGCUAAAAUUUAAUUAAAAGACGAGAAGACCCUAUAAAUCUUUAUAUUUAAUAUUAUUUUAAUUUUUUAGAUAUAUUUUAUUUUAAUAUUAUUAAAUAUUUUGUUGGGGUGAUGUUAAAAUUUAAUAAACUUUUAAUUGUAAAAAUCAUUAAUUUAUGAUUUAUUGAUCCUUUAAUAAAGAUUAUAAGAUUAAGUUACUUUAGGGAUAACAGCGUAAUUUUUUUGGAGAGUUCUUAUUGAUAAAAAAGUUUGCGACCUCGAUGUUGGAUUAAGAUAUAUUUUUAGGUGUAGUAGCUUAAAUAUU